AGCAGCCGCGGUAAUUCCAGCUCCAAUAGCGUAUAUUAAAGUUGUUGCAGUUAAAAAGCUCGUAGUUGAAUUUCGGGAUCAAUACGCCGGUCGUGCUUCGGUACAUACUAACGAUAUUGAUUUCUCCCUUCUGACGAACCGUGAUGUCAUUAAUUUGGUGUUACGGGGAGUCAGGACUGUUACUUUGAAAAAAUUAGAGUGUUUAAAGCAAGCAAUCGCUCGAAUACAUUAGCAUGGAAUAAUGAAAUAGGACGUUCGAACCUAUUUUGUUGGUUUCUAGGAUCGACGUAAUGAUUAAUAGGGAUAGUUGGGGGCAUUAGUAUUCAAUUGUCAGAGGUGAAAUUCUUGGAUUUAUUGAAGACUAACUACUGCGAAAGCAUUUGCCAAGGAUGUUUUCAUUAAUCAAGAACGAAAGUUAGGGGAUCGAAGACGAUCAGAUACCGUCGUAGUCUUAACCAUAAACUAUGCCGACUAGGGAUCGGAUGAUGUUAAUUUUUUAAAUGUACUCAUUCGGCGCCUU
rnacentral:rRNA from 1 species